rnacentral:lncRNA from 1 species
GGAGGAUUUGGCUCUGUUUUGUUUAAACUGAGAAGUUCGGACGUGUGAUCUGAGAGGAUGCGUCUGGAGUAAGCCGGGAGAUGUGAUUCGGAGGGACGUUUGAAGAAGUUGGCUUGGCUGAUCCGUGGGUUAAGGAUGAACUCGGAACAAGAUGAGAGCUGGUAGAUCUGAGAGGUUUGGGAUGUUGGAUUUGGUUCGGUUGUUAGCUUUGUUUCA